CAGCCGCCACGGUAAUACGUAGGGUGCGAGCGUUAAUCGGAAUUACUGGGCGUAAAGCGUGCGUAGGCGGUUCGUUAAGUCUGUUGUGAAAGCCCCGGGCUCAACCUGGGAAUGGCAAUGGAUACUGGCGAGCUAGAGUGUGUCAGAGGAUGGUGGAAUUCCCGGUGUAGCGGUGAAAUGCGUAGAGAUCGGGAGGAACAUCAGUGGCGAAGGCGGCCAUCUGGGACAACACUGACGCUGAGGCACGAAAGCGUGGGGAGCAAACAGGAUUAGAUACCCCAGUAGUCCUUGUCUCUUAUAA
rnacentral:rRNA from 1 species